rnacentral:rRNA from 1 species
AUGGAGGGAGUAGACUCUCUUAGAAAUGGUUAUAUAUGGCGAGUUGGAAAUGGGCAAAAUAUUGAUAUAUGGGGAGAUGCAUGGAUCUCGAGUAGUGCAAAUAGAAAAAUUAUUGCCCCCAGACAAGGGCAUCUUCUUUCAAAAGUUGUUGAUUUUUUUGAUCCAGACAUGAAUGUUUGGGAUGAAGAUUUGGUGAGACAGACAUUGUGGCAAAUUGAUGCCCAGCGAGUCCUGACGAUCCCGCUCCCUAUCCAUAAUAUGCCGGAUUUCAUUGCUGGGAGCUAUACAGAAAAUGGU